UAUCAUUCCCAUUUUACAGUCAAGAAGACUGAGGCAGAUAGCAAUUAGGUGACUUGCCUAGGUCACACAGCUAGAUUCUAGAUCCAGCACUCUACUGCACUAAUAACAAUGAUAAUCAUAAUAAAAGCUAACAUUUAUAUUGCACUUUCUAUGUGCUAGGCACGGUGCUAAGAGCUGUGUAAGUAUUAUCUCAAUUGAUAUGCACAGCUCUGUGAUAUAAGCGCUAUUAUUCACUCUCAUUUUACAAUUAAAGAAAAUGAGGCAAAUAGAAGUCAGAUGGCUUGCCUGGGGUGCAUGGUUAGACACUGGACCCAGAAGUCUAUUGUACUACUAAUAUUAAUAAUAAAUAACAUUUAUAUUUCCCUUACUAUGUACCAAGCACUGUGCUAUGUAAAAAUUAAAAUUAAAUCUCAAAUAAUAAUAUAUUUUUAGAGGUUUAUUAAAUGAUCAUUAGAAAUCAAGGAAUAAAGAGCAUAUAAAAUAAAAACCACGUGCCCAUGACUGGUUAGCCAAUUUCAAAAUUCCCACCUUACCACCAUCACUGCUGAUUGUUACAUCAUGCCAAAGAGGGAGGAACAGGACUUCUCCCUGGAUAUUUAUUCCAUGUCUACAGGAAGUACAUAAUGACAAGAAGUCAGUGGGCUCUCAGGAAAUGUAGUUCCCCUUUAGGGUGACAGAUUUUCAAUUAUAUAGCUAUUAUUUACAAUUAUUAUUUCAUUUGAUCCUCACAACAACCCUGGGAGGUAGGUGCUAAUAUUAUACCCAUUUUACAGAUCAGGAAACUGAGGCAAACAGAGGUUAAAUGACUGUGUUCAGGGUCAUUUCAUAAAUAAAUAUCUGAGGCUACAUUUGCACUCAGGUUUUCCUGAUUCCAGACCCAGCACUUGAUUCACUAUAGUAACCUACCUGCCUUCAGAAUAGUUUUGCUUAAUCACACAAUGACUGAUCACACAAAUUUGAUUUAAUCCCACAGGUUGUGGCCAUGGCAGAGCUGGGACACUAACCUAGAUUUUCUGUUUCCCAGAAUAGAUUUUUCCUACUCUUCAGAGGAACUUACAUGACCGAAGCACCUGUUUACCAGAAAGGAUGCUAUUUUAGGCCUCCUACCAGAGACUGAGGCAGAUUGAUUAACACUUCAAAAGAGACAGCCUGCUGCACUGCUCUCCGAGCCAUAAAGAUCUGGGUUUAAGAUUUGCCUCACACACCUGGCUCUGUGACUUUGAGCAAGUUUCUUAGCCCUUCAUUUCCCUAAACUGUUCUCUAAGAUUUGAAAGAUUAUAAACUCUGCUGAGGAGUUGCACAUCUGCAUUGGUAAAGGGAGUCAAUUUCCUUGCUGGUAUUUCUCUACGUUAAUAAAAACAGAUCUAUUAAAAAGAAAAGUUUUCCUUUGGACUCAUCUCCUUAUAUGUCUCUCUUUCAGGUUAUACUGGAAUGUCCAGGUAAGAUCAAGUAUAUAUACCCAGCAG